rnacentral:tRNA from 1 species
GCCUGCGUGGCUCAGUCGGUUGAGCAUCUGACUUAGGCUCAGGUCAUGAUCUCGCGGUUCGUGAGUUCGAGCCCCGCGUCAGGCU